rfam:Gossypium hirsutum cultivar TM-1 chromosome 18, whole genome shotgun sequence
CACGUCAGCGCAACCUGCGAACGUGGAAGGAAAUCGUACCCUUAAGGACUCGAUUUCUUUCCACGUCAGCAGGUCGCACUGACGUGG